AAGGUUGCAUCGCUCGCGCAUUGCGUGCAACCGCGGUUCUUGAUGCGCGACAACUUAGGAUACGGACAUUCUUGGCUAUUGGCUUGGGCUUCUGAAGUUUCGCAGUGUUAUGAUGGAGUACAAUGACUCACAAAAGUAUUUGAGCCAGGAUCCAGAAUUAGCAGCUAUUUUUAACAUUUUUAUGGAACUCACUAAGAUAAGGUCAAUUUUUCUUUAAAUAAAAGACUGUGAUCUUGACUAAAUCUUAAAGGGAUCUUGAAUGAUUAAAAAUAUUAAUUGUUAGUUGUUCUGGUUACGAACAACGAUUUUAAAUGAUCGAAAUAUUUUUGAUUAUUAAUAACAUAUAAUGAAAAAUCUUUUGAGUUCUGUAAAUUUUAGACGAAGAUUUCUUUUUAAUUAAUAUAAAAUUAGAAAAAAUGACACUAAAAAUAUUGAGUACAAUUACGACAAGAGUUACAUGCGGUUACAUUUCUCUAUUUACUUAUUAAGAAAUAUUUUAUAGCGCGUUAAGAUAUCGAGGAAGAUUAAUAUAAAAAAUAAUAUGAUAAUUUAUAUAAAAAUCACGUGUAACAAGCAUUUUAGUUGGUUAAUAAGGAAAAUGUUGGCAGAUGCUGUAGUAUGAUUUCCAUUUUAGAUAAAAUCAUUGUUUAUUUAGUCUUGGUAUGUAUAGUUUUACUUCUCGCGUGAAAGCGGUUAAUUAGAAAAAGUGAUACAAAGUGAUAAAAAACAGCUAAAAUUAAAAAUUUGUAAGACUAAUAAUGUUCCGAGUAUACGGAUAAAAUACGUUUAAUAAGAACACAUUACAUACGAGGAACUGAAUUCAUAUAAUUAGAACUUUUCAUGACAUUAUAAUUUAUGGAGGAAGUCUAUUAUUAUGGCGUGGUAAAAGUCAGUAUUAAUGGAUAAAAACAUUUCUUUUUUUACAUAGUAAAUGGCAAUCGGUAUGUUUCAUUCCCAAACUUUUCAUGAAAUUGUGAUAAGGGAAUGCACGUAAUUGAUUUAAAUUUAUAUCCUGAAAAAUAAAAUACGUUCGACACCAAAAUGUAAAACUGAAGAGAAUUAAAAAAUUAUAUCCAGAUUCUGAGUAGAUACAUUUUGCAAUUCAAUAAAAGAGUAUAAUACGAACAAUAGAGAAAAUUGUACGUAAGUAAUAAUUAUUUGGGGCACUAUUUAUUUGAAUAUCUGAAUAAAUUUAAAGUCUGACUCACACACCAGUGAGUACAAUACUGUUCAGUUUACUAUAUCGAAACAUUUAAAGUUUUUUUUUAGUAUACAAUUAUAAAAUAGGAAAAUUGAAAACAUAUUUAUAUCUACGAAUAAUAUCAGCUUUGUAUAUUUUCUAUAUUUUUAAGAAAAAUUUUCUAUAGCACUUGAGUUUUUCUUCCUAUCAAUACGGGGAUUUUCUAUCACGUUGACAGAUUAAACAUGUGAAGAGGAAAAAAGGAAUAUAUUGAAAGUGAACGGCGAACGAUAUUGCGUCCCUUUAUUCAACACACUCUCAAUAAGCUCUGUUUUAUGUGGAGGAAGGUUGUUUGCAUUUUUAUUGGUUUAAUUGUUCGUAGUAAAUAAAAAACGAAGAUAAAUGAAAUCAAUAAGACAAAGUUUCUGUCUUCGGCCGUACUAUCUACGUAUUUAACGGUUUCUUGUGUAUCAGAAGUUUGAUAAAUUAUACAGUUGUCGCUUGCGAAUAGAAACUUCACGACGUGAUAUACAUUAUUGAACGCGAUAAUAGAAUUUGUGAACGGUAUUACGUAUUGUGUGAUAAGCAUGCAACUUCCAGAAUUGUAAUGAAGCGAUAAAAUCGCGUCGCGUGUUGUGUGCAUCGAACUUUUUCUAUUUGGAGAGAGUGCUCGUGGAACACAUUUAUUAAUAUAAUUACAGAGACAAACAAUUCGAAACGAAGAUCCUGGACAAGACCUCUUCCGUCGAAUCAGCCGACAACACGGAUAGCUUCUCAUACUUUUCAGCCGGGAAAUCGUAAUGAGAAAAAAUUCCCGGCUUCGUUAAGUUCAAGAUGGAACGAUGGUGCUGUUAAUUCUUUUAAAAGCUAGAUAGCUGGGGCACAUCAGAAUAAUUUGCUUGAGUUCAAUGACCGAGAUAUAUUUUUGUAGAAUUAUUAGGUCAUCCCAUAAGUUCGUGCCGACUUUUGUGUAUACAUUUCAUGUGUCGAUUUAUAAACAUACGGCGAUAAGGGACCAAUACACUUGAAAAAUGAGAAGAAGUUGUACAACGAGAGGGGGAUUACAUUUUUUCAUGAAACUGAAAGGUAUGUAAACAAUCUUAACAUAUAUAACCGCUCAAAAAACGGACCGAACGUAUGGGAUGACCCAAUAUUUGGUUUACUUUUGGAGUAUUAUAUGUUAGAGAAUAAUUCCUAGAGAAUAUUUCCUACUAAAUUAAGGAAAUGUUUUUCCCAGACAGAUAAAAUGUACAAAAAGGGCGAAAAUAAUUUCUAAAUUAGAAAACUAUAAAUUUUAAUAUUAAAGAAAUAGAAUUAGUAUAUGAAUAGGGAGACAGAGCGAGAGACGCACGAGAAGAUUAGCAGAGAAUCGUAAGAGACAGAAUAUUAAGAAAUAUUUAUGAAGAAUUACAAUUAACAUUUAUGAAGAAAUGAAAGAAAUGCGUGCUAAUUUAAGCAGGAGUAAACGUCAAUAAUUAUGAAAAUAAACCGAAUUAUAGAGAGUAUCAUUGUGGUUUAAAGGAUAAAAGAAUAUCGUAAGUUAUUACCUUACACAAAUUUGAAAAUCGCGGAUUAUGUAUCGUGUUAGUUAUAAAAUAUUGUAUAAUGAUAUUUUAUAUCCUAUUGUUUGUAAAGCAGAUUAAAUUAGUAUAAAUAUAAUAUGUUAUUCAUCGCAUAUGUUUCAUCGAGAUUGAUGGUAGUAGAGGAUUAUUAAUUUCAUGAAUGAAAUAUUGGAAAAUUGAAACAGUCUAAUAAGAGCGUGUAGAUAUAUGUAUCAAAAGAAUGUAUGAUUCAGUAAACCGAAUCAUCUUCAUGGCCGGGAUACUGAAAAAUAAAGUAUUAACACUGUUA